AAGGAUAGCAUCUUCAACAAAUGGUGCUGGGAAAACUGGAAAUCCAUAUGCAACAAAAUGAAACUGAAUCCCUUUCUCUCGCCAUGCACAAAAGUGAAUUCAAAAUGGAUCAAGGAGCUUGAUAUCAAAUCAGAGACACGCCGUCUGAUAGAAGAAAAAGUUGGCUACGAUCUACAGUCGGUGGGGUCGGGCUCCAAAUUCCUCAAUAGGACACCCAUAGCACAAAAGUUAAUAACUAGAAUCAACAAAUGGGACUUACUCAAACUAAAAAGUUUUUUCUCAGCAAAAGAAACAAUAAGAGAGGUAAAUAGGGAGCCUACAUCCUGGGAACAAAUCUUUACUCCUCACACUUCAGAUAGAGCCCUAAUAUCCAGAGUAUACAGAGGAAAAAUAGUUUUAGCAGCAGUGAAAUGCACCUUUAAAAAACUAACUUCUGAAAUCAGUCUGUGAUCAUAUCAUUGACCUUGGUUGGACCAGAGGAUUCUCUGAAGCCCAAAGGCAUGAAUGGAUCUCUUUGUGUGCUCAGCUCUCAUGCAAGCCAAGCCAGCCUGGGUUUUGUUUUGCCAUAUCCACAAAAACGCCAUAGACAAAUAGGUCUUGAUUUACAGAUAUGUGUAAGUAGACGUGAUUUCCUCUCCGGGAAAAAGGCCUGAGGGGGCUAAUGCACUUUAAUUUAUAUGCUCAGGGCUCCUAGGAGGGGCUUGGUUAGAAGGAGUCCAUCCGCAAGAAGCACUGCUCUCAAAUGCUUCCUGAUGGAAAGUAAAUCUGGGAAAACACCAGGGCCAGAAAUUGGCAGGGAAGACUUGGACAGAAGAAGAAUCUGGAGAGAAAGGCACGGGUAGCCUUUUUUGCCUGGAAAGGACAACUACUGUGUUUUGCCCAGAAGUGACGGCUUGGCUGACCUCAAAGCUCAACAACAUUUAACAGGGACCCCAGAACAACUGCUUUCUGGAUAAGCAAACCUUAGGAAGUUCGGCUCAAGUAAGUUCCAGGGCUGUCCCCCUCCAGGAUGCUUCUCAGUGGGUCUGUGGGUCAGGGAUAAGGAGAUGAAAGCUGCUUUAGCUCCUCAGCCUCCUGGUGAGCUUAGCACUAAGAAAGAUCAUUGCCUGGCUGCAGGUGAAACCCCUGGGCCUAGGGAACUGUGUCGCUCAGAGGGGCACUGGAGACAGCCCUCUGCAGCUUCCUAGUGCUAUUCUACACAUUUGUCCUUUGUUCCCUCACAGCCCAGAGACAAAGACUGCUCUGUGCUUUGUUCGCCUGGCCUAGCCUUUGCAGAGCUUUCUGCUGUUUCUAAGACUGAGCCUGUGACCGGAAGGUGAUAAAAGAAACACAUUUCAAGUAGUAAAAACAAGUGUCCAAGAAAGAGCUUUCCAUCCGGUGGUAACAAAUGAAAAGGCCAGGCCUCCUGUCUCUCCAUCUGGAUCUGGAACGGAUGAGGGAGAAAUCUCAGAGCGCCAGUGAGCAGCUGUCUGCAGGCCCCAUGGGCUUGGCCACGCUGCCUUGAGCAGCACAGGCUGGACGCUAGGCGGCAAGGACAUAUUUUCAGGGCAGCUGCUCUGGCCACUGUUUGGAUUGCUCUUGCUCCCUUUGUCCCAUUUCAGUGGUUUUUAUAUUCUUUUUUUUUUUUUUCUCUCUCUCUCUCUAUCACUUUUUCUCUACCUUCCUUGACUUUUCAUAUUUUUUUUUCCCCUUCUGUUCAAAAACUCUUGACAACCCCUUCACCGUCCAUUCCCUCAAGUCCCAGUUCUGUAGUGGGCUCCUUGUUUGUAUCCUGGCAAU